GAGAAGACUUAAAAACGCAGAGACU
rnacentral:tRNA from 1 species